rnacentral:lncRNA from 1 species
GGAUGGCGACACUGUCACUCUCAGCUUCACUCCCGGGCCUUAAGCCAGCUGAAUGCAUUGGUUCUCUAUGCCCACCAGCAACAACAACUCAGUAUUCAGUGUUCUUUGCCGGUCUUUACCUUAUCUCCCUUGGUACUGGAGGCAUAAAACCAUGUGUCUCAUCUUUUGGUGCUGAUCAGUUUGAUGACACUGACCCUCAUGAACGACCAAGUAAAACUUCUUUCUUUAACUGGUUUUACUUCUCCAUCAACAUCGGUGCCUUUGUCUCAUCUACUCUUCUAGUGUGGGUUCAAGAGACCUGUGGGUGGGGUCUAGGGUUCUUGAUCCCUACUGUUGUCAUGGGGCUCUCUCUCGUGAGUUUCUUCUGUGGUACUCCGCUUUAUAGGUUUCAGAAACCGGGAGGUAGCCCGGUUACUAGGGUCAGCCAAGUUCUUGUAGCUGCUUACCUUAAAAUGAGUCUCAAGUUUGAUGAAGAAGACCAUACACUUCUGUUUGAAACACAAGACAAGAACUCCGCAAUACCUGGAAGCAGGAAGAUUGAGCACACAGACGGUUACAAGAAAAUAUCGUUUUAUCAUUUUGAAUAGAGAGCUUCAUGUUAUGGAGUGUUUAGGCCUGGGCAAAAAAAUCAGAACCGAAAACCAAAAAUCGGAAUCAGAACUGAACCGGAAUGAAACCUUCAAAUACCCAAAUGAUUUCUAUAUUUUGAUAUUUGAAAUAACUGAACCAGAAUCGAACCGAGAACUGAACGGAUAUCCCAAUAUAUAAAAAUAUCCGAACUAUCCAAAAUUAUCAUUUUUAUCUGAAAUAUUCAAAACAAUCCAAACUUUUUGAGAUUUUAAUCUAAAUCAUCAUAAUUACUCGAUAUUUAUCUGAAAUAUCUGAUAUUUUAUCCAAAUUACCCAAAAUAACUGACCCAAAACCAAAUAGGAACCAAAAUUUUCUGGUAUUAGAUGUUCCUAAUUUUACUAUCCCAAUUGAUCUGAACCCGAAACUACCCGAACAGAUCCAAACCCAAAAAAAAAUUUGGUUCUUAUAUGGAUCUUCUAUCCCCUACCUGAAUUACCUGAUAUCCAAAAUACCCGACACGAACUAACGAAUAUCCGAAAUGCUCAGGCCUAAGAAUGUUCAUGGGGGAAAUAAACUGGUUUCUCAUAUCACAUGCAGGUGUCUUGACAAAGCCGCAGUUAUUACAGAACAUGAUGUCACAAAUGGUGUCUCUCCUAACCCAUGGAAGCUAUGUACUGUGACUCAAGUAGAAGAAGUUAAGAUUCUGUUACGUAUGUUUCCCAUCUGGGUCUCCGGCAUCGUGUUCACAGCGCUCCAGUCUCAGAUAUACACCCUCUUCGUGCAGCAAGGACGGUCCAUGAAACAUACCAUAGGCUCAUUUGAGAUUCCUCCCGCUACACUCGGGAUGUUCGACACUGCAAGUGUGCUCAUAUGUAUCCCAAUCUACGACAAAGUCCUCGUUCCCUUUGUGAGACGGUUCACAGGCAGAGCAAAGGGAUUCACUGAUCUACAACGCAUGGGAGUUGGACUUCUUGUCUCUGUCUUGAGCAUGGCAGCUGCAGCUAUUGUCGAGACAAAGAGGCUACGUGGUCUCGGAGCAAUGAACAUCUUUUGGCAGGUUCCUCAGUACUUUCUUAUGGGCACAGCGGAGGUUUUCUUCUACAUUGGUCAGGUUGAGUUUUACUACGAGCAGUCUCCUGACGCGAUGAGGAGCUUGUGUAGUGCCUUGCCGCUUCUCUCUACUGCCUUUGGGAGCUAUCUGAGCUCGUUGAUCCUCUCGCUUGUGGCGUAUUUCACGACAAUGGAUGGUCAAGAUGGUUGGUGACUUUUACUUAUUUCAAGGUCCGAUGAGACUUAGUCUACCAUUUUUGACAUUUUCUUUUUAUUCACGGAAGCACGUGUUUCUCUGAUCGUGAAGACAUAGCCUACCAUAACGAUCAGUCGGGGAAGGCAGCGCCUAUCAUCCCAAGAAAUAAACGGAGAAGGUCCAGCCUCUCACUCCGAAAUAAUAAUAAAAUUUAAAUAAAUUAAGUAUAUUGAAAUACAUAAAUUUAAACAUUACCUCGGCUGGUUUAAGAAUUUUCGGAUUGAUAAGCCUCAGUUGGUCAGAGCUUCGUGCUGAUAAUGUGUUGUAAAUAAAAGGUGAGGUUGAAGAUUUGUGUUUAUUUAUUUUAUAUGUAUAUUCUGAUCGAUGGGAAAAACGAGAAAUGAGAUGUUGACUUUAAUAUAUAUAUGUAGUACGUGAGAGAGAGAGAGUCAAAGAUGAAUCUUUUUAUUUUCUUCUUAAGUUACAAAAUGAGGAAAUGGGACCAUCACUAUUUAUAGUGGUGUGGAAGUCGGUUGAUCAAAUCAACUAAAAGAAAAAGACAAAACCAAAAAGAUGAUGAUGCACAAAUGAACCAAGAAGAGGACAAGUGUAAUGUAAUGGCAACAUAUGACAUAGACAUCUAGUCCACUAGAUGAAUCAUCAAUUGCAACAUAUUUUUAUUAAUCCACUAGAAGCUCAUGGUUCUAACGAGCUGGGGGGCUAACUAUUGGGGUCAAAAUCGGUCACGACGGAAUCAAUGUCUGAAAGUCCGUAAAAAUCGGCAUGAACGUUUUUAUGAAAAAUAAAUCUUAGAAAAAGAUUUGUUGGGGUCGAAAACGGUUGCAACAAAGUUAACGUCAAAAUCCCCGAAGAAGAAAAACGUAAAAACCUUCUUCGACAAAUACUUUUUCGAAAUAGAUUCUUCUUUACGAAAAACUUUGCGGAAGAAACGCGAGUCAUCGGACAAGAGUUCGAAGAGGGUCGCUACGCAGCAACCAAACACAUGUUCCGCUCGGUCGCUACGUAGCGACCGAGCUCGAACCAAAGUUCGGUCGCUACGUAGCGACCAAGCUCUUCCAAAACGUCGAUACGACAUUAGUCACUAUUUAUAGUGGUGUGGAAGUCGGUUGAUCAAAUCAACUAGAAGAAAAAAACAAAACCAAAAGGACGAUGAUGCACAAAUGAACCAAGAAGAAGACAAGUGUAAUGUAAUGGCAACAUAUGACAUAGACAUCUAGUCCACUAGAUGAAUCAUCAAUUGCAACAUAUUUUUAUUAAUCCACUAUUGUUUUUUUGUCAAGGAUUUUUAAUCCACUAUUGAAAAAUGAAAAUUACUACCUAAUCCAACAUUGUUUUCUUUUCUAGACUAUAUUUUGUUAUUAAUAUUUAUAGAAGUUUUGAAUUUGAAUUUCUAAAUCAACGGUAGAUUAAUCUUUUUUACCCUUAAUUAUGUUAGUCAAACCCAUACGCGAUUUUAUAUCAGAUAAAUCCAUUUGCUAUUUCCUCAUCUGCCCCAGAAAAUAAACACACCCUUUAUUCGAACCAACACAUAUCAUUUUUCAAAAUAUUUAAUCAAAUGAUACUUUUUGUAACAAUAUUUUAUUUUGCAGAAAAAAAUCUGUUGUGUCAUUUUAGAAUACUAAGUUACUAACCGAUCAAAAAUAGCAUUGUUGACAUCUAAUUUACAACAAUAUAUUUAAAGUUCAGCAUCCGUUUUCAUUACAGUUUUACAGGCAUCAUAGAUGCGUUUCACGUAUUAUUUUUUCCUGAAAGAGCACUAUCCUAUUACUCCCUCUGUUUGUUUUUUUAAAUGAUAUUUUAGUUUUAACACAUAAAUUAAAAAAAAGUUAUUUUUACUAAAAGCAUUUGAUUACAACAAAAAAAGAAUAAUAAAAAAUUACUAAUCAUUGCUAUUCUGAACUAAUAAGACAAAAACAAUAACAUAUUAACAUUUAAUAUUUUAAUCAUUUAUUUUAAUAGUUUUACAUAAAAAGUUUUAAAAUAUCAUAUAUAUUUAAACAAAAACAUUUUCUAAAACAUCAUAUAAAAAAAACGGGAAGAGUAUUAUUUUGUUUAAUGUACUAGUCCAAUUUUGUCCAAAAAAAAAUUCUACUACUAGUCCAUUCAAUUGAUUUUUGGGGAUUUUUUCAUGAGUGGCCGUGGUACUUAUACGUAAUAACGAGGUGGUACAAAGGGUAUAACUGUCAGACAAAAAAAAACAGAAAAAGUCGACCCUUCAAGUCAAUUCUAAACGCGACAGUCAGCUGGAACAGGCAAAAGGAGACGGCCAUCGACGAAUACGCGUUAUAUGGAAUUAAGGAGGAUCUUGUUGUAACAAUAAAGAAAAGUUUGGGCCUUUUUGUAAGACUUUGAAAGUCAAGGGGAAACAAUUAGUUUUACCAAAAAAAAUACAUCUCCAAACUUUUCGUAUACAUUUGAACAUUACAGAAAAAGUCGCCGGUCCGGUGGUCCGUCAGGCCAGAGUAAUCUUCUAAUUAGUUUGCUUUGAAGUGAAAACGAUGGGUUCCAUCGAAGAGGAAAGACCCCUCUUCCAACAAGGUUCUGUAUUAUUACAGGUUCGAUCAAGUUGUGUUCUUUGACUUUCAAUUUACUUACCAAUUAUUACAAUUAGAUCAAGGAACUGUGGGUUUUCGUAUCGUAUGGUUUCUAUGUAUCAGUCAACUUUCGCUGAGCUGUAGUUGUGAUGCUUAUGUUAGCUAAGUUGGAUUAGAUUUCAUUGGAUGUGUGUUUGUCUGAACAUGUUUCUUGAUUUUGUUUAAGCAGGAAGUGAAACUGUAUGCUGAAGAUGGUUCAGUGGACAUUCAUGGAAACCCACCAUUAAAGCAGAAGACAGGAAACUGGAAAGCUUGUCCAUUCAUUCUCGGUAAUAAAAACAAAAAACAAAUGUUUCUUGUUUUGUCUUUGUUGUAGCUCUAAUCCUUCAAGACUAAUAAUGUCUGCAACGUUGCAGGCAAUGAAUGCUGCGAACGCUUAGCUUACUACGGUAUUGCCAAGAAUCUAGUCACUUACUUCACGACAAAAUUGCAUGAGACUAAUGUUUCUGCGGCAAGGCAUGUCAUGAUAUGGCAAGGCACUUGUUACAUUACUCCUCUCAUUGGAGCUUUAAUAGCUGAUGCUUACUGGGGAAGAUACUGGACUAUUGCUUGUUUCUCUGCCAUUUAUUUCACCGUAAGCAUUUACAAUUGUAUUGUUAUUCUCCUUUUUGAUAAUGUUCUUUGCUAACCAGAGGUCGUUAACGCAAUUAAAAAAGAUUUUGGCCAUUGUAUCAAAAGUCUUGGGUUCGAGUGACCAAUGGAUAAAACUAAUAUUACAUGCUGUGGUUUCGGGUCUGGGAGAAUUACGGGUUUCGGGUUUCGAUCCUGGACCUCCUCGUAUUCAAAUAAUAAUAAUAAUGUUCUGUGCUUUGAUUUUGUUAAGGGGAUGGCGACACUGUCACUCUCAGCUUCACUCCCGGGCCUUAAGCCAGCUGAAUGCAUUGGUUCUCUAUGCCCACCAGCAACAACAACUCAGUAUUCAGUGUUCUUUGCCGGUCUUUACCUUAUCUCCCUUGGUACUGGAGGCAUAAAACCAUGUGUCUCAUCUUUUGGUGCUGAUCAGUUUGAUGACACUGACCCUCAUGAACGACCAAGUAAAACUUCUUUCUUUAACUGGUUUUACUUCUCCAUCAACAUCGGUGCCUUUGUCUCAUCUACUCUUCUAGUGUGGGUUCAAGAGACCUGUGGGUGGGGUCUAGGGUUCUUGAUCCCUACUGUUGUCAUGGGGCUCUCUCUCGUGAGUUUCUUCUGUGGUACUCCGCUUUAUAGGUUUCAGAAACCGGGAGGUAGCCCGGUUACUAGGGUCAGCCAAGUUCUUGUAGCUGCUUACCUUAAAAUGAGUCUCAAGUUUGAUGAAGAAGACCAUACACUUCUGUUUGAAACACAAGACAAGAACUCCGCAAUACCUGGAAGCAGGAAGAUUGAGCACACAGACGGUUACAAGAAAAUAUCGUUUUAUCAUUUUGAAUAGAGAGCUUCAUGUUAUGGAGUGUUUAGGCCUGGGCAAAAAAAUCAGAACCGAAAACCAAAAAUCGGAAUCAGAACUGAACCGGAAUGAAACCUUCAAAUACCCAAAUGAUUUCUAUAUUUUGAUAUUUGAAAUAACUGAACCAGAAUCGAACCGAGAACUGAACGGAUAUCCCAAUAUAUAAAAAUAUCCGAACUAUCCAAAAUUAUCAUUUUUAUCUGAAAUAUUCAAAACAAUCCAAACUUUUUGAGAUUUUAAUCUAAAUCAUCAUAAUUACUCGAUAUUUAUCUGAAAUAUCUGAUAUUUUAUCCAAAUUACCCAAAAUAACUGACCCAAAACCAAAUAGGAACCAAAAUUUUCUGGUAUUAGAUGUUCCUAAUUUUACUAUCCCAAUUGAUCUGAACCCGAAACUACCCGAACAGAUCCAAACCCAAAAAAAAAUUUGGUUCUUAUAUGGAUCUUCUAUCCCCUACCUGAAUUACCUGAUAUCCAAAAUACCCGACACGAACUAACGAAUAUCCGAAAUGCUCAGGCCUAAGAAUGUUCAUGGGGGAAAUAAACUGGUUUCUCAUAUCACAUGCAGGUGUCUUGACAAAGCCGCAGUUAUUACAGAACAUGAUGUCACAAAUGGUGUCUCUCCUAACCCAUGGAAGCUAUGUACUGUGACUCAAGUAGAAGAAGUUAAGAUUCUGUUACGUAUGUUUCCCAUCUGGGUCUCCGGCAUCGUGUUCACAGCGCUCCAGUCUCAGAUAUACACCCUCUUCGUGCAGCAAGGACGGUCCAUGAAACAUACCAUAGGCUCAUUUGAGAUUCCUCCCGCUACACUCGGGAUGUUCGACACUGCAAGUGUGCUCAUAUGUAUCCCAAUCUACGACAAAGUCCUCGUUCCCUUUGUGAGACGGUUCACAGGCAGAGCAAAGGGAUUCACUGAUCUACAACGCAUGGGAGUUGGACUUCUUGUCUCUGUCUUGAGCAUGGCAGCUGCAGCUAUUGUCGAGACAAAGAGGCUACGUGGUCUCGGAGCAAUGAACAUCUUUUGGCAGGUUCCUCAGUACUUUCUUAUGGGCACAGCGGAGGUUUUCUUCUACAUUGGUCAGGUUGAGUUUUACUACGAGCAGUCUCCUGACGCGAUGAGGAGCUUGUGUAGUGCCUUGCCGCUUCUCUCUACUGCCUUUGGGAGCUAUCUGAGCUCGUUGAUCCUCUCGCUUGUGGCGUAUUUCACGACAAUGGAUGGUCAAGAUGGUUGGAUUCCUUCGGAGGACAUUGAUAAAGGACAUCUUGACUACUUCUUCUGGCUUUUGGUCUGUUUUGGUUGUGCGAAUAUUCCUGUUUUUGUCUUCUUCUCUGUCAAGCACUUGCAGAAAAAGGCUGCUUAAGCUUCAGCUUGGCUCUUGUUUAAUAUUUGUAUACACGGAGAGUCAGAAACAUGUAAAAGUUAUGGGCCACUAUGUAAAACUAUGAAGACUUCAUUUCAUACUUAUUUGUAAAUACGUCAUAGUUCCUGUGCUACAUGUUGGCCGUUGUAAUAUUGAUGAAAAAGAUGGAAAUCAAAGAGUAAUUUGGUGUUGCCAAAUUUUGGCAUUUACUGCUUUUCAUGUUAUUAAAUUUAUAUUUAUUCAGAUAUUUCGUAAUCAUAAUGUUAAAUUUUAACUUAACAUAUUUACUUUCCUUUAAAAUUUUGUUUUUAAUUAUUCAUGGUCAACAUUUUUAAAACGAUGAUUAAUUAUAUUUUAUAAACUAUAAGAAACAUUAUAAAGACAAUUUUUCACCUAAUUAUUUUACCUGUUUUACAAAGAUUUGGGUAUAACGGCAUCAUCAUGAGCUUUCUAAAAAUCUACGGUUGAUAUUACUCCUUGUACUAUAUUAAAAAUUUUCUAAAAAGUUUUCUUUUUUAGUUUAUAUAAUUUACUUUUUGGAACUUAAAACUCAAAUCUUUUCAUAUUUUAACAUUAAUGAAUAUUUAGUUAAAUUACUUGAUUAAAAAACCUUCCACGCAGCAAAUUAUUUAUUUUAAAAAAAUUCAAAUAAUUUUACAUAACAGAAAACAAUUUUUUAUAAUUAUUAUUAAAUACCAAUAAUUAAUAUCAUGCCAAACUGCGAAAAGUGGAAGAAUCAAAGAAUUUUAAAAAUAGUUACUAUUGUGUGUACUACGUAAAAGCCCGGUCCUGGGCUAGAAUCCGUGUUGGGGUCAAAAUCGGUCACGACGGAAUCAAUGUCUGAAAGUCCGUAAAAAUCGGCAUGAACGUUUUUAUGAAAAAUAAAUCUUAGAAAAAGAUUUGUUGGGGUCGAAAACGGUUGCAACAAAGUUAACGUCAAAAUCCCCGAAGAAGAAAAACGUAAAAACCUUCUUCGACAAAUACUUUUUCGAAAUAGAUUCUUCUUUACGAAAAACUUUGCGGAAGAAACGCGAGUCAUCGGACAAGAGUUCGAAGAGGGUCGCUACGCAGCAACCAAACACAUGUUCCGCUCGGUCGCUACGUAGCGACCGAGCUCGAACCAAAGUUCGGUCGCUACGUAGCGACCAAGCUCUUCCAAAACGUCGAUACGACAUUAGUCACUAUUUAUAGUGGUGUGGAAGUCGGUUGAUCAAAUCAACUAGAAGAAAAAAACAAAACCAAAAGGACGAUGAUGCACAAAUGAACCAAGAAGAAGACAAGUGUAAUGUAAUGGCAACAUAUGACAUAGACAUCUAGUCCACUAGAUGAAUCAUCAAUUGCAACAUAUUUUUAUUAAUCCACUAUUGUUUUUUUGUCAAGGAUUUUUAAUCCACUAUUGAAAAAUGAAAAUUACUACCUAAUCCAACAUUGUUUUCUUUUCUAGACUAUAUUUUGUUAUUAAUAUUUAUAGAAGUUUUGAAUUUGAAUUUCUAAAUCAACGGUAGAUUAAUCUUUUUUACCCUUAAUUAUGUUAGUCAAACCCAUACGCGAUUUUAUAUCAGAUAAAUCCAUUUGCUAUUUCCUCAUCUGCCCCAGAAAAUAAACACACCCUUUAUUCGAACCAACACAUAUCAUUUUUCAAAAUAUUUAAUCAAAUGAUACUUUUUGUAACAAUAUUUUAUUUUGCAGAAAAAAAUCUGUUGUGUCAUUUUAGAAUACUAAGUUACUAACCGAUCAAAAAUAGCAUUGUUGACAUCUAAUUUACAACAAUAUAUUUAAAGUUCAGCAUCCGUUUUCAUUACAGUUUUACAGGCAUCAUAGAUGCGUUUCACGUAUUAUUUUUUCCUGAAAGAGCACUAUCCUAUUACUCCCUCUGUUUGUUUUUUUAAAUGAUAUUUUAGUUUUAACACAUAAAUUAAAAAAAAGUUAUUUUUACUAAAAGCAUUUGAUUACAACAAAAAAAGAAUAAUAAAAAAUUACUAAUCAUUGCUAUUCUGAACUAAUAAGACAAAAACAAUAACAUAUUAACAUUUAAUAUUUUAAUCAUUUAUUUUAAUAGUUUUACAUAAAAAGUUUUAAAAUAUCAUAUAUAUUUAAACAAAAACAUUUUCUAAAACAUCAUAUAAAAAAAACGGGAAGAGUAUUAUUUUGUUUAAUGUACUAGUCCAAUUUUGUCCAAAAAAAAAUUCUACUACUAGUCCAUUCAAUUGAUUUUUGGGGAUUUUUUCAUGAGUGGCCGUGGUACUUAUACGUAAUAACGAGGUGGUACAAAGGGUAUAACUGUCAGACAAAAAAAAACAGAAAAAGUCGACCCUUCAAGUCAAUUCUAAACGCGACAGUCAGCUGGAACAGGCAAAAGGAGACGGCCAUCGACGAAUACGCGUUAUAUGGAAUUAAGGAGGAUCUUGUUGUAACAAUAAAGAAAAGUUUGGGCCUUUUUGUAAGACUUUGAAAGUCAAGGGGAAACAAUUAGUUUUACCAAAAAAAAUACAUCUCCAAACUUUUCGUAUACAUUUGAACAUUACAGAAAAAGUCGCCGGUCCGGUGGUCCGUCAGGCCAGAGUAAUCUUCUAAUUAGUUUGCUUUGAAGUGAAAACGAUGGGUUCCAUCGAAGAGGAAAGACCCCUCUUCCAACAAGGUUCUGUAUUAUUACAGGUUCGAUCAAGUUGUGUUCUUUGACUUUCAAUUUACUUACCAAUUAUUACAAUUAGAUCAAGGAACUGUGGGUUUUCGUAUCGUAUGGUUUCUAUGUAUCAGUCAACUUUCGCUGAGCUGUAGUUGUGAUGCUUAUGUUAGCUAAGUUGGAUUAGAUUUCAUUGGAUGUGUGUUUGUCUGAACAUGUUUCUUGAUUUUGUUUAAGCAGGAAGUGAAACUGUAUGCUGAAGAUGGUUCAGUGGACAUUCAUGGAAACCCACCAUUAAAGCAGAAGACAGGAAACUGGAAAGCUUGUCCAUUCAUUCUCGGUAAUAAAAACAAAAAACAAAUGUUUCUUGUUUUGUCUUUGUUGUAGCUCUAAUCCUUCAAGACUAAUAAUGUCUGCAACGUUGCAGGCAAUGAAUGCUGCGAACGCUUAGCUUACUACGGUAUUGCCAAGAAUCUAGUCACUUACUUCACGACAAAAUUGCAUGAGACUAAUGUUUCUGCGGCAAGGCAUGUCAUGAUAUGGCAAGGCACUUGUUACAUUACUCCUCUCAUUGGAGCUUUAAUAGCUGAUGCUUACUGGGGAAGAUACUGGACUAUUGCUUGUUUCUCUGCCAUUUAUUUCACCGUAAGCAUUUACAAUUGUAUUGUUAUUCUCCUUUUUGAUAAUGUUCUUUGCUAACCAGAGGUCGUUAACGCAAUUAAAAAAGAUUUUGGCCAUUGUAUCAAAAGUCUUGGGUUCGAGUGACCAAUGGAUAAAACUAAUAUUACAUGCUGUGGUUUCGGGUCUGGGAGAAUUACGGGUUUCGGGUUUCGAUCCUGGACCUCCUCGUAUUCAAAUAAUAAUAAUAAUGUUCUGUGCUUUGAUUUUGUUAAGGGGAUGGCGACACUGUCACUCUCAGCUUCACUCCCGGGCCUUAAGCCAGCUGAAUGCAUUGGUUCUCUAUGCCCACCAGCAACAACAACUCAGUAUUCAGUGUUCUUUGCCGGUCUUUACCUUAUCUCCCUUGGUACUGGAGGCAUAAAACCAUGUGUCUCAUCUUUUGGUGCUGAUCAGUUUGAUGACACUGACCCUCAUGAACGACCAAGUAAAACUUCUUUCUUUAACUGGUUUUACUUCUCCAUCAACAUCGGUGCCUUUGUCUCAUCUACUCUUCUAGUGUGGGUUCAAGAGACCUGUGGGUGGGGUCUAGGGUUCUUGAUCCCUACUGUUGUCAUGGGGCUCUCUCUCGUGAG